AGAGUUUGAUCCUGGCUCAGAUUGAACGCUGGCGGCACGCUUAACACAUGCAAGUCGAACGGCAGCACGAUGAUGGGUAACCAUUAUGGGUGGCGAGUGGCGGACGGGUGAGUAAAGCGUAGGGAUUUACCCUGAAGGGGAGGAUAACCCGGGGAAACUCGGGCUAAUACUGCAUAAUACUCUGAGGAGGAAAGGGUGGG
rnacentral:rRNA from 1 species